ensembl:snoRNA small nucleolar SNORD12/SNORD106
ACCUAUGAACCAAGAAGUCACGGUUCACCCCAUCAGACCGACCCUGUUGAUCUAACUAAACUAUUUGCCAGUUUUUGUCUGAUGCAUUGGA